AAGUUUGAUUCUAGCUUAUGUGUUAAAUAUAAUGAUAAACUACAUGUAAAACCUAUAGCUCAAUGAACCCUAUAAACAGUAGUAAACUCUACUCAAUAUGAAAAACAUGAAGUGGUAAAAAUUAAUAAAGUCGGCCAUACUCGUGCCAGCUGCCGCGGUUAGACGAUAGUACUUAUUUUAAUAUAUAAAAGAUAAAAUAUUUGAUAAAAUAAAAAAAAAUUAUGGGUAUAAUCUAAAAAUUUCGAGAACCUAAAUUAUCUUAAAUAUUAACUAUAAACUAAAACAAGGAUUAGAUACCCUUCUAUUUAUAGCCUUUAUAAAUUAUCGGACAAUACAAACAACAGUUUAAAAUCUAAAGAAAUUGGCGGUGUUCUAUCACACUAGGGGAACCUGUCUCAUAACCCGAUAAUCCACGUAUACCCUUCCUAUCUUUGAAUAUAUCAGUCUGUGUACUGCCGUCGAAAGUGCACCCAUUAUAGGUCAGUAAGCAAAAAUGUUAUCAACAUCUACGUCAGGUCAAAGUACAACCUAUAGAUAGGUGAUGAUGGGUGAUAAUUUUAAUUUAAACAUACAAAGUAGUAAUUUAAAUAUACUAUAAGGUGGACUUAGUUGUAAUUUAGAACAAAAUUUCUAAAUGACUAACGACCUAGAACAAGUACAUAUCGCCCGUCACUCCUCUCGAAAGAGAGGAUAAGUCGUAACAUAGUAGAUGUAGCGGAAGCUGUAUCU
rnacentral:ncRNA from 1 species